UUGUAUAGAUUCGUUCAGGGACCAAAGUUGAGCGAGCAAAGAGAGAUCCAGUUGUCGAAGGCCAAACUGUAAAACGUUACGAUGGAUUAGCGUAUCUACGCGUGUGAUGCACGCGGUUGCCAAGCGGUGGAAUUCCAAAUUUACUAAUUGAUGCGAUGUACUCUGAAGAGAGUGGCAACUCUCGGGAUACUUGCCGUGAGAACGAAGGAAGAGGGAAUUGGGUAGGAGACGCAAAAUGAGAAUGGGAAUGAGAGGUGUUGACCAAGAACGAAGGAACAAGAAAGGAGGGAAUAACGAGAGUAGAGGUAGAAAGGAACGAAGGUGAAAGAGAGCGGCCAGAAAAAAGGUGGCGAAGAGGGGAGUCACGCCUGAGGGAAUGCAGCGUGGGAGCGGCUGUGCCAGUUCACUCCGUGUGUGGAUUAACUAUUAAACUAUUAGCCCGACUUUCGAGCGAACUAUCUUUUGGACGGCGACCGCUAUAUUCAUCGUACAUCAUAGAUCGAAAAUUUGACUAGAUGGAUAUAGACUAUCUUGCUAGUAAAAUAGCUUUCCGUCGACCUGAUUCAAAGGAAGAAGGAACGAGGAAAAAAGCUUGUCCUCGACGCAACGGAUGACACAAAGAACGCGUUAGUUUCUCGAGAGAAAAGCCCACGCUUUGAAUACAUAUUCACUGUGUUUUACGAUGUGGCAUACACGCGUAAUAAGGCCUCGAGGUAACGGAUUCGAUCGGAACGACUCCGUUUAACACGACAUGUACGAGGUGAUAGAAAGGCUGAUUAUGCUUGAAAAACGUCUGGUUUUCAUCUUAGUUACAAAGCUUGACAUUCCGCUAACACGCGAUGAGUGACGUUUUCAUUAUUCCGACCUUCCGCCAUUUAUAGAAACCUUGCAUCGUGACUCGUAAAUCCGUGGAAUUUUCCUAGUGACUCGUUAAUCUAUAAUCUUGACAGAAACACGUGAUUAACACCGCCUAUUCGAACCAGCCUCCUCUGGCAAUUAUAUCUUUAUUCGAUCGAUAUCUUUUCUGCUGUUUCUUUUUAAUAAACAGUUCCUGUCUACCGGCAAAAAAUGAUCUGGCACUAGAGAAGAUCGAUAUCUUUUCUGUUGUUUCUUUUUAAUAAACAGUUCCUA